rnacentral:rRNA from 1 species
CCUAGGGGAGGCAGCAGUGGGGAAUAUUGGGCAAUGGGCGCAAGCCUGACCCAGCAACGCCGCGUGAAGGAAGAAGGCUUUCGGGUUGUAAACUUCUUUUGUCAGGGACGAAGCAAGUGACGGUACCUGACGAAUAAGCCACGGCUAACUACGUGCCAGCAGCCGCGGUAAUACGUAGGUGGCAAGCGUUAUCCGGAUUUACUGGGUGUAAAGGGCGUGUAGGCGGGACUGCAAGUCAGAUGUGAAAACCACGGGCUCAACCUGUGGCCUGCAUUUGACACUGUAGUUCUUGAGUCCGCGGAAGGCAGGCGGAAUUCGUGGUGUAGCGGUGAAAUGCUUAGAUAUGACGAAGAACCCCGAUUGCGAAGGCAGCUUGCUGCAGCGGAACUGACGCUGAUGCUCGAAAGCGCGGGUAUCGAACAGGAUUAGAUACCCUGGUAGUC